AAAGUUUACAGGGUAGUUUGCCUGGUAUUUUCUCAUGCUGCAGCCCAUGUAUACAGCUUGCAUUCAUUUCAAGGGUAUUUUUACCACAAAGUGAGGGAAGACUACAGCCCUAACAUCUUUAGGUCUUUUGAAGAUCUGUACCUGCAGCUUCAAAACAGUGGUCUAAUCUCUGCUUCCAGUAAGGACAGCAGAAUUUGUGCUUGUUUAUGCACUUUGAUUUUCAGUUCUUUGUGUAUAAUUUUAGCUGUGGGUGGAGUAUCCUGAGCCAGAUUUCUCCCUAUGUGCUAUACAUACAGAAUGACAGAAAGACAUACACGAUUCUGCACUAGAUUGACAGUGAAUUACAUUUGCUAGCAAAUACUGGAUCAGAGCCAUCUGUUUCAGAAAUUAGCAUAGCAGGGAUUUGUUUGUUUGGCUUCAUCUGUCUAUUAGUUUGGUCAAAAUCCUCUUGUUUUAGAGACACACUGUCACAGAGAGGACCUGUGAUAUACUUUGUGCAGGCAGCCCCUGAAAUACAUAAAUUACACUGAAAAGUGGAGAUAAAAUGUGAUUGUCAGAAAUCCAGACAAGGCCAAAUUCAGGUGUUACUUCUUUUUUUUCUUGAAUGCAAGUUUGAUGUCCUCAGUGCACCCUGUGUUAAAGAUCAUCUACCCCGAAACAGCGUGCUGAUAGAGAACUACUUCUCGCUAUACCGAAGUAGUGUUGCUGAACUUGUAGGUGCACUGUACCUGUGUGUUUUGAGAGAAUUGCAGAAAUCCCUCCUGAUUUACAGCCUCUACAGCUUUCCUUUGAAGAGGUAUUGAUAUUUCUAAAAAUUGAGAAGUCUAGCUCCAAACAACAGUGAAGAAAAGGGCAUCAAGCCAUUAAAUGAUAAGUAUCUCUUCUGUAAAAUAUCAAAUAGAAAACCAUCUGGAUCCAGAAGAGAAAGGUUCCAUGGUACAACAAAAUUCUUAUCCACUUUCACAUGAGUACGUGUGCAAGGAGGGAAAAAUAUUUGCAGAGGUACAUAAUUCCACCAGUGCAAAGAAGAUAAGCAAGAAGAGAGUGAAUACAGCAGAAUUUUCUUUGUUACAGAGACUGCAUUUGAAGGGAUUGUAACAGCAGGUACGGUGCUGCCAAGUAGAAACAACCCUGGAUGUGCUGUAGAAGGUGGAGGCUUUCCUAAGAGUAACCUGGAGGAAUCUGGAAGGGUCAGGUGAACCCAGGGUGUCACCCAUUGCAGAAGCUCUGAGGAAACUGCAAGAUGGAUUUGUCACUCAAUUUGUAGCUACAUGGACGUGUGUAUACCUGCCAUUUAAGUUGCAUUAGUUCAACUAAUAUAUAUAUAUAUAUAUAUAUAUAUAUCCCUAUUACUUGUGAGCUUUUUUAAAAGUACAUUUUGAAAUAAUACAUGGUCAGUGAUGCAAGUUCCUUGGAAACUGCUACAGGGGAGAUGGCUCAAAAAUGGACUUUGCUCUGUGAAAUCAAAAGCCAUCGGGGUACCUACAGCUUAUCAGUGAUGGGCUAGUAAUGUACCAUUGAAUAGGGUGGACUAUCCAUCAGGCUUGUUUUGCCACUUUCAAUUUCCUAACAAACACCGAACAGUAAUCAAGUUUCAGAUUCUAUUGAGAACUGGCUAUGUUACUUAAAGAACAAGUCUUCUGUGACCUCUGGAGCAUGUUAUUACUAAAAGAAGGGCAUAAUUGACUUUUUGGAUACACAAUUAUUUGUUCUUGCUGCUGUUGUCCCAUAACAGCAUGGAUUAUAAACCUUAUAUCCUAGUCAUGCAGGCAAAACUCUUGUGUUACCUUAGCCCUGCUGUUUAAUUAGCUUUUACAAUUGGACAUUGUUUAUAUCCCAAUAAAUGUUGCCUGAGUAAAGACUUCCCCUUAACCAAUUAUACCAGAUGUUUUUCUGUGAAGGUCCUAAUUAAAUAGCAUCUAUUCUUGUGUUUGUUUUAAACCCUGCCUGUUGUGUAAAUCUCUGGAAGAGCACACUGUUAUACUGGGUUGCUUCACCAUUAUUUCCGUCAUUCCCCGGUUCACUGGUUGGUUGUAGCAUCUCCCUUUAAAAGUCGUUGUUUACUGUAUGGGAGGGGGUCCUGAGAAGUGCACUUGAGACUUGGGAAACCAAAUCAGUUCUUGCCCUGCAGUGGCCUUCUGAAGUGAUUCAAGAUAAUGACCCUGUCAGGAUGGUGUAACUUAAGGUGACAUUGGAUUACCAAUGUCAUGUCCAAUCCUGCCAUAUUCAGUGCAGAAUCAGCAUAAAAUACCAGGUUGGAAAGAAGUCUCCCCACCCAUGACGUCUCUUGCUCCUACUUUUUCACAUGGCAUUGAAAUACUCCAUUUGGAAAUUCAUGGACUCAGGAUGGUGGCUGCUGGACCAGAGAAAGGAGGCUGAUUCCAUAUUCAGAGUAUACACAAAAGUGAUGGCAAUUUAGGAAUCAGCUCUUGGAAAUAGCACGUGAAAUAUAAAAGCUCUUAAAAUCUUACCUGGCAGAAAGUAAUAUCCCAUUAUACAGGAGGAGUGAGAUUCAGGUAUAGAAUCACAGAAUAGUUUGAGUUGGAAGGGACCUUAAAGCUCGUCCAGUUCUAACCCCCUGCUACGGGCAGAGACACCUUCCACUAGACCAGGUUGCUCCAAGCCCUGUCCAACCUGGCCUUGAACACUGCCAGGGACUGGGCAGCCACAGCUUCUCUGGGCAACCUGUGCCAGAGCCUUAGCACCCUCACAGU